AACGAACGCUGGCGGCAUGCCUAACACAUGCAAGUCGAACGAGACCUUCGGGUCUAGUGGCGCACGGGUGCGUAACGCGUGGGAAUCUGCCCUUGGGUUCGGAAUAACAGUUGGAAACGACUGCUAAUACCGGAUGAUGACGUAAGUCCAAAGAUUUAUCGCCCAAGGAUGAGCCCGCGUAGGAUUAGCUAGUUGGUGAGGUAAAGGCUCACCAAGGCGGCGAUCCUUAGCUGGUCUGAGAGGAUGAUCAGCCACACUGGGACUGAGACACGGCCCAGACUCCUACGGGAGGCAGCAGUGGGGAAUAUUGGACAAUGGGCGAAAGCCUGAUCCAGCAAUGCCGCGUGAGUGAUGAAGGCCUUAGGGUUGUAAAGCUCUUUUACCCGGGAUGAUAAUGACAGUACCGGGAGAAUAAGCUCCGGCUAACUCCGUG
rnacentral:rRNA from 1 species